rnacentral:rRNA from 1 species
GACAGAGGGUGCGAACGUUGCUCGGAAUUACUGGGCGUAAAGCGCGUGUAGGCGGACUAGUAAGUCGGACGUGAAAUCCCUGGGCUCAACCCAGGAACUGCGUCCGAUACUGGUUGGCUUGAAUUCGGGAGAGGGAUGCGGAAUUCCAGGUGUAGCGGUGAAAUGCGUAGAUAUCUGGAGGAACACCGGUGGCGAAGGCGGCAUCCUGGACCGAGAUUGACGCUGAGGCGCGAAAGCCAGGGGAGCAAACGGG